rnacentral:rRNA from 1 species
AGCAGCCGUGGUAAUUCCAGCUCCAAUAGCGUAUAUUAUAGUUGUUGCAGUUAAAAAGCUCGUAGUUGAAUUUCGGGAUCAAUUUAUUGGUCGUGCUAUUGUACGUACUGGUAUAAUCGGUUUCUCCUUUCUGACGAACUAUAAUGCCAUUAAUUUGGUGUUAUAGGGAAUCAGGACUGUUACUUUGAAAAAAUUAGAGUGUUUAAAGCAGGCUCACGCUUGAAUACAUUAGCAUGGAAUAACGGAAUAGGACGUUUGAUUCUAUUUUGUUGGUUUCUAGGAUCGACGUAAUGAUUAAUAGGGAUAGUUGGGGGCAUUAGUAUUCAAUUGUCAGAGGUGAAACUCUUGGAUUUAUUGAAGACUAACUACUGCGAAAGCAUUUGCCAAGGAUGUUUUCAUUAAUCAAGAACGAAAGUUAGGGGAUCGAAGACGAUCAGAUACCGUCGUAGUCUUAACCAUAAACUAUGCCGACUAGGGAUCGGAUGAUGUAAUUUUUAAUGACUCAUUCGCGCCUUAAC